CUACGGGUGGCAGCAGUGGGGAAUAUUGGACAAUGGGCGAAAGCCUGAUCCAGCCAUGCCGCGUGUGUGAAGAAGGCCUUCGGGUUGUAAAGCACUUUCAGUGGGGAAGAAAGCCUUGGGGCUAAUACCCUCGAGGAAGGACAUCACCCACGGAAGAAGCACCGGCUAACUCCGUGCCAGCAGCCGCGGUAAUACGGAGGGUGCGAGCGUUAAUCGGAAUUACUGGGCGUAAAGCGCGCGUAGGCGGUCUGAUAAGCCGGUUGUGAAAGCCCCGGGCUCAACCUGGGAACGGCAUCCGGAACUGUCAGGCUAGAGUGCAGGAGAGGAAGGUAGAAUUCCCGGUGUAGCGGUGAAAUGCGUAGAGAUCGGGAGGAAUACCAGUGGCGAAGGCGGCCUUCUGGACUGACACUGACGCUGAGGUGCGAAAGCGUGGGUAGCAAACAGGAUUAGAUACCCCUGUAGUC
rnacentral:rRNA from 1 species